GUACACGCUGUGACUAGCAUAUCAAUAAGCGGAGGAAAAGAAACUAACAAGGAUUCCCCUAGUAACGGCGAGUGAAGCGGGAAGAGCUCAAAUUUGAAAUCUUAAAGGGUUUCCCUUUACGAAUUGUAGUUUAAAGAAGUGUUUUCUGUUGAGGUUUUGGUAAAAGUUCUUUGGAAUAGGACAUCAUAGAGGGUGAGAAUCCCGUAUUUGACCUUUACUUUCAACUUUGUGAUACACUUUCAAAGAGUCGGAUUGUUUGGGAAUGCAGUCCAAAAUGGGUGGUAAAUUUCAUCUAAAGCUAAAUAUUGGCGAGAGACCGAUAGCGAACAAGUACCGUGAGGGAAAGAUGAAAAGAACUUUGAAAAGAGAGUUAAACAGUACGUGAAAUUGUCAAAAGGGAAGCGUUUGACACCAGUGUUGUUUUUCUGAAAAUCAAUUAAAGAACUGUUUAUGCUAAGUUGUUUAGACUUUAUCAGCUAACUGUUUAGUUUGAGCUUUUCUUUAAUGCACUUUUCAGUUAACAAGUCAACAUCAAUUUCUUUUGCUGUAAAAAAGCUUGAGGAAGGUGGCUUGAGAUUCGUCUUAAGUGUUUAUAGCCUCUUGCCUAUGCAGUCGGAGAGAUUGAGGUCUGCAGCGUAGAUCCUUCGGGGCUAAAUGCAUUUGUGCUAAGUUAUAGCAUUUUAUAGACAACUUGUUGACUAUGAUUUGUCUUGUAGCUUACUCGCUUAUGUUAUUUUACCUACGCUUAGGAUGUUGACGCGCGUGUGUGCGUG
rnacentral:rRNA from 1 species